GGCGAUCAUUAAGCAGCUGCUGGGAAAGGGCCAGUGCUGGGAGGCUGAGUACUGGAAGGACUCCACCUCCAGGCCCACCUCUUCGGCCACCUCUCGCCGCAGUGCCUCCUCCACACUUUCACCUGGAAGCAACCACAGGCCUUCGGUUGAUGUCCCAUGGUUCUGCCCCCCACAGCAGAUGAGAGCCCGCCUUACCCAGGUCACAGAAGCCUGACAGGGCAGUGUACAUCCCCUGAGGGAACGAGGACUGUCGUGUAAGGAGGCACCGGCUGCCAUCAGACACCAGGGUGAUAACCACUGGAGACAUCUAGAAAACACAUCAAAAUGCAGAGGAAGAAGUUCAGACCAAACAACUUACUUUUACAGCAGUUCUCCCAAAUUUGCUGUCCCAAUUUUUAGUGCCUACUGAAAACACACAGCAGGUACCUCCACAAUACGUAUUGAAUCAUGGAGCAACAUGGGAGACAAGGAAAUGUUAGAAAUCACUUCUUAAAGGUUAAAAUAAUAAUAGUAUUUCUGUACUGUACCGAGGCCAGCAAAGGAGAAUCCUUCACAUCCACUACAAAGAGAGCCUUUCGUAAGUCAGUGAACGAUCCCUGAAGUUCAGACUCAAUGACUGAUUUUUCCAAGGCUCCUGCUUAAAAAACAACGACAAAUCUCUGAUCUCAUAAACUGCAGUUCUUAUCCCAAUUUUACGCCCUUCAUUGUUCCGGUGUACAAUUUCUGGAAGUUCCCAUGGAAGUGACAUCACCUCGGUGGUAACACAUGCCCAAAUGUUAAGUGACCUGCAAACAGCCCACCUUUACUAACGCCCACGCGGGGACAGCAGGGCAGCUUUGUGGCUCUCAACCACCGUGCUCACAGCAGCUCCUACAGAGACUCAACUGAGUUCUCUUGAGCAGUAAAUAUUGACCUAGUGUGGAAAAAGGAUGCUGCCUCGGCAUCACUUUCAUCUCAGUGCAUCAAAUGCGAUGCCAACGCAGGUGGAAGAGGAGUCAUCCCAACCUAAAUCCAGGGCAAAGUGUGGCACGUGCUCAUCUGAACAGCCGAUCAGCACUGACUUCUCUAUCCACUGUUCAGUCUCUUUCAUUUUCUCCAGGAUCCUUUUCAUCUCUAAACAGCAAGAGAAAGGGGAAGAAAAAGCUGUAAGGGAAGAGAAUUUGUGCAAACAUGACGCUCUUUCUGCAUCUCUCAUGUGAGAGAGGUGCCAGACAAAUUGUUCCGCUCCAAAGGAGACUCGAAGCCUGGCUUUCUCCUUAGCUGUCGUAUCUUCUGACCAUAUUAAAUUAAGGAUGCAAAUGUUUUAACGCUUGGGGAACAGCUUUCCAUUCUGUUUCUCUCCUACAGCAGCUGAUACCUUUCUCUCAAAACUGCUUUGCUGGUAAAACCUUGCUGCUUGUUUUCUGCUCAGCUCUUUUUCUUCAGAAGUUAUGGUCCCAAAUAUUUAAAGUGGAUAAUCUCAAACCAGAUCACGCAUGUAUUGAUACUGUAUGUACGUGAAGAGCAUGAGCUCACAUCCACGUCGUAAGGUUUUAACUCUAAAUACCCGUUAGUUGUUAACAAAUAGCAUGCUGCAUAUAACGGGAUAUUCCAUGCACAUCUUGAUAGAUUUUCAACCCCAUGUCAGGUAUUGCUUAUUGCACAUGAGCCUGUAUCGUUUGAGCUGCGUGAUCCAGGAGACAUCUCUUUCUGGACUCCUGCUUACCUGCUGCACUGAGCUGUGGUAGCAAAUAUUUCUUCCCAACCUUCUGCAGGAAGGGUGAGAGGUUGUGAAAGAGGUAGAAAGUUCCUGAGGUCUGGGCUUGUCUACAAAAGUCAUCAUCUUCCUUUAGCUCAUUUAAGUAUCUGCAGUAAGAAAAGAAUGGGGAAGAUAAAUUUAAGAUCAUGCUGGGAUUACCUGUGUUGCACUUAUUUGGACACAUUUACUUGAGGAAGAGCAGACAGUAUGGAUUUUGUCUUCUGCAAGCUUCUAGGGUGUUUGGCAGCUGGAUCUACACCUUGGUGGCCUGCACCUUCCAGCAAAGGUGCCACCUGGCAAACAAUACUGCAUUUCCUCCUAGCUAGGACAGCAAGCAUAGGCAGUCAUUGAACUGUUAGGAGAUAAACCCCUAGGUUAGAUUUAGGUAGGGCUGCUUGUGACAGUGGGCAGGAGUGCCAAAUGCUGGUCUUCUCAGUGUAAACAAGAUGCAGGUGAGAACUUACCUCAUUUUUUUAACAUAGGUAGAAUGAAACCUGCAGAAGAGAGAGGAAGCUCUUCUGUGCACUGCUUGAUAAAUUGCAGCCAUGACCAACGCCCACAGGUAGCUGUCUCUGCCUAAAAAGAGAAGCGCAGAAUAGAAACAGUGGCCCUCCAAAGUUGCGUUUGGUUUAAAAGCCACAACAACCCAAUGCUACCAGAAAUCUCUCGCUUACAGUGUCUGCAGAACGCUAGCAUUUGCUUUCUGAAAUGCUUUUUAAAAUGAUCACUUUGGUCUUAGUCUCUAGUCACAAAUCAAACCUAGUUCCAGCACUUUUAAAGACAAUUCCAAGAUACCUCAGUUUGUUGCCAUCUGUGAGUGAACACAGAAGGUCUUAGAGUGCUGUAAGAUGAGGUUAAGUAUUCCUGUCCUCAACUCCUGUACCGAUGGGAUAAAGAGCAGCAAAAGUAGCUGCUCUCUUGUUUGUUUCCUACGCAGUUGUAAUGGCCUCGAUCCAAUGGAACAUCCUAUUGCAGCACACAGUAGGGCUGUGGGAAAGGCAGCAAUGCCAGAAGAGAAUGAAAGACAAAAUAUCAGCUGCGGAAAAGAAUUCCUGGAGCUAGACGAGAGACAGCAGUCGCAGCUGAAUUGGAUCAUCUCCAACUGUCAAUGCUUUCUGUGCCAAAGGAUCCUACCACAUUUUCAGCUCAGGCAGUCACAGACUGCAGUUUGAACUCAACGUCGGGAUGUCAGAAAACAGCCAGAAAUGCCACCAUCUCUAGCACUCAUCUGAAAUAAAAAUGAACCGUGAUUCACCAUCCUUAACAAUUGCUUUGGAUAUUUCACUUUCCAACCACAGGUCCCGAGGCCCUCGAAGGAGGAGGAAGUUACGUUUGCUUCGUUUCACUGACUGAGACACAUAAGCCAAGCCAAGGAAGAGCCUGCGAGUCCUUCCCCGCAGUAAGACAUUAGGCUCCAUGCUAGAAACAAUCCUGUGAGUGAAGUGGAGGCCUGGCCAUACAAAUGCAUCUCCGACAGCUUCCUGUAGUUUACUAAUUUGAGCUUUGGCAGGCCACCAGAGGAAGUGAAUCCCUGAGACUCGCCUGAUGCAAGAAGAGCAAAGAAACGGAGCAGGCAAGGAGGCCACAAGCAGUAGGAACAGAUACUUGUUACAUAGAGGAGGUUACAAAACAGGCAAAUCUUUGCUCUGGUAUUGCCAAGAGCCUUUUUUUUUUUUAAUCUGGGUUUAUAAUAUACUUGUAUUGGCAUUAACAGUUGGUAAAAGAUUUUCAAGCCAAAGAAGUGGCUGGAAAAUGUAAUUCUAACCUAAUAACAGCUACACUAGCAAUCUUGCUUUUUUUCUUGCUGUUCUGUUUUGUGUCUCUCCAGCUGCCCUCAAUAAGCAGAAACAAGCAUCAGAAUUGCUACCAGCUGACUCUUGCACAACAACUGUUAAUUGCUUUAAGUACCUAAAACUGGUAAGCUCACAUUGAAAACUUAUGGUCAAGCCACAAGAAACCUCUUGGUAAAAAAUACUUCUUUUUUAGCAAGAGGCCAAGGAAAGACAAACCACUUCUUUAAAGAGAAAGUUAAUGAGUAGUCUUUCCCUCUAUCAUUAAAUUUUAGAUGCAGACUAACCAAAACUAGCUUUGCUCUAAAAUAAGCCUUGUAGCCUAUAUCAUGUAUAUAAGGGACUCCUGCAGCUUCUGAUACUCAGGAUGGGGAGCUAAGAAGAGAGAAAUUGUUUAAUUUCAUACAGCUGGUGGCAGCCUGUGCUCCUAACACUCUACAGGUGUAGAGGACACAUUAAUAUCUGAGUAACCAUUUAGAAGGAUUUGCUCAGUUCAGCUUUUUGGGAUCACUUGCAUCUUUGUCUUCCUCCCUGUUGGUUAGGGAAGGUCCUCCAACCCUGGCCAAAAAAUAAAAUUGUAUUUUCUUUUUGCAUUGCGCAGCUGAUGAUAUAAAGUCUGUGGUCACAGCCUGGUGUCACGAGAUUUCUGAAGAGCUGGAAAAGAUUCAGAGAGGACAAGAACCUGGUUGAUCAAAUCUAAGACAGUGGAGCCAAGUUCUCAGGGAAUAAAUGGAGAUGUUUUUCCAUGCCCUGGCUGGAGGGGCACAACUGCUAGGUGAAGGAUGGUGUGGGUGCAAACAGCUCUAGCUCGAGAGGAGGAACGCUGUGUAGAGAACUCUGCUGAGGGUUUAUAAAUAGUUGGACCACAUCAGGCUGAGAAAAUCCCAGUUACAAGUGUUUGGAGGCUGCCAGCACUCUAGGCAUGAGGGGCUAAAUAAUGCUUUGCUGUGAGUCAGAGCAGUUGUGCUCUUAGGGGGUCUCUUCUGCCUCGUUCUUGUUCUAGAAGGAUCUUUAUUUUACUACCCUUCAGCGUAAGACCUGCAGAGUGCUUCUGCAAGAUUGCUCAGAAGGGGAAGCAGCAUGCUGUUAGGCUUACACUUGCAGCAGGGGAGGCAGCUUUUGGCCACAUGCUGACAAAUAUAAGCAAGCCUGCUACUAAAUGAGCUAAUAAACUUGUGGCUGUUGGAUUCCUCCAGUCUGCCUUUUUAAAUGCAUCUGAGUGGCGCAAAAGAUGAAGGGAAGAGCGGUCAGUCUCGCUAGGAGGAAGCUGAACGCCUCUACAGCGUGUGAGGUUUUGCCACAUCUCCAGAAGCUGCAGUUAAAUCUCUGCCUAGCUAUUACGGCCUCUUUGGAUAACAGGGCUUCAACCGGCCGCCUCAGCUCGAGGCUUGUACAGCAUCGCCGCCUUUCCUGCUAGUUACAGGAGCUGUAUUGCUGUUGGAAGGUGACCAGAAUGAGAGGGAAGGAAGGUUUAUUUUCUGACGGCUA